GGCUUCUUGAUCCUAUGUGUUGUAUUGAGUGUUGGUCACUGGUCUUUGGGAAGCUUGGACAGAAGUGGGGCAGCCAUGGAGCUGCUGACUGGGACUGGCCUGUGGCCCGUGGUCAUAGUCACAGUCAUCUUCAUAUUACUGGUGGACAUGUUGCACCGGUGCCAGCGCUGGACUUCUUGCUGCCCACCAGACCCUGUGCCAUGGCCUGUGCUGGGUAACCUGCUGCAGGUGGACCUGGAUAACAUGCCAUAUAACUUGUACAAGGUGUGGUCCUUGCUCCUUAUGGGCCUGAGUGGAAAGAGCAGAGGUGAUUCUCUGCGUCGACCCUGUGCAACUUCAGCCUGGGCAAGAAAUCACUGGAGCAGUGGGUGAUGGAAGAGGUUGGACACCUCUUUGAUGUCUUCACUGCCCAUGCUGGGAGUCCCCUCAAUCCUUACCCUCUCUUGGACAAAGCCGUGUGCAAUGUGAUUGUGUCUCUCAUUUAUGCCCAUCGCUUCGAGUAUGGAGACCCUGACUUCAUCAAGAUGCUAAAAGUAUUGAAAGAGAACAUGGGAGAAAAUAUUGGCUUGUUUUCAGAGGGUUGGCUGACAAAGUCUUCCCUGGGCAAAAGACAUUUCUCAUAAUGGUGGAUAAGCUGGUGACUGAGCACAAGAGGACCUGGAACUCGGACCAGCCGCCUCGAGACCUGACUGAUGCCUUUAUGGCUGAGAUGGAGAAGGCAAAGGGAAACCCUGAGAGUAGCUUCAAUGAUGCAAAUCUAUGUCUGGUUGUCCUUGACCUGCUGGGUGCUGCAACUGUGACCACCUCAACCACACUGUCCUGGGCCCUGCUGCUUAUGAUCCUGCAUCCGGAUGUGCAGUGUGAGCCUGGCUGGGGCUGUCAAGAAAGGAGGAGGAGGGUAGAGGCAAACUCCUUAAACUUACUUGGGACACUUGUAGAUCCCAGCAUUGAGUUAACCCAGACUGCAGUAAGUAUGGUUGCCUUAUUUCUCCCAUGGACCCAGCCCUUAACAGAGAGGUAGUGGAUGGACAAGGGGCACCCACUGAAGCAUCUUAACUGAUGGGAAAA
rnacentral:lncRNA from 1 species